rnacentral:rRNA from 1 species
GGUUGACCUCGGAUUAGGUAGGAAUAA